UUCCGGGCCGGAGGGCGGGGGCGGAGACAUACGCUGCUAUGGCGCUCGUGCUCGGCACCCUGCGUCUCCUGCUCGGCCUCUUCUUCGCGCUCACCGGGGCUGCUAAGCUCUUGCAGGUCUCGGCCCCCGUGUCACAACAGAUGAGAGCCUUGUUCGAGCAGUUUGCUGAGGUGUUUCCAUUGAAGUUGGUCGGCUACCAGCCAGAUCCUAGAAACUACCAAACAGCUGUGGGCUGGCUGGAAGUGCUGGCCGGGUUGCUGCUGGUCGUGGGUCCGCCUUCGCUCCAAGUGAUCAGUAACCAGUUCUUGAUCCUGCUCAUGAUGGGGGCCAUCUUCAAUUUGGUGGUUCUGAAAGAGUCGCUGAGGACCUACAUCCCAGCUGUUGUCUGUUUGGGGCUGCUGCUGCUGCUGGAUACCUGCCAGUUCUUAGCUCGAACUAAGAGGGUGGUCAGACGCCGCCGUAGCAAGAAGAUUCCUGGUGCAGUCUGGAAGUCUGGGGACUGAGUCUUCAUGCAUUUACCACAGCAGGAACAGUCGCACGACAGUGUCUACCACUUUGUUAGGUCCACAGUCAUUCAGUGUAAAAGAGUGCUUCAGCUGCCAAGAUGAAAAUUUACAGGCACAAGACCUGGGAUGGCCUACGCAGUGUGAUCGACUCUUCCUUACUUUCCAGAACCGGCAGUGUGUGUGAACAUUUUAGAGCCUUUGAAAGCGGAUACAUACGCCAGGAGCUCCAGUCUCAUGCUUUACCUCCCCUCUUGCAGCUGGCAUUGAGGGAUCCUGUUUUCCAAGGCAGAUUAGUAAUUAUGGACUCCAAAGCAUGGUUGUGGGGCUGGCCCAGCACCUGUGGGAGAGGCAGGGUGCUGGAAGAAUGGAUAAGUCACCUGGUGUCGAGAAGCAGUUUGAUUGACAGCAGCUGAAGCAUCUUGAGCCCCAGCAGUGCCUUGAGGAGCCCAAGGAGCCAAGCUUCAGGAGGCCAUAGCAGAAGUCUAAGAGCUCAGGACAACUUCCAGUCGGUUGGCCUCCUCUUGUCCCCGGAAGGCACUCCCAGAUCCCGGGGUCCUCGCAGUGCCCCUACAAACCCAGCAUGCAGCUACCACAUGUGAGUCCUUCCCUGGCUAGCUGUUGAGCCCGUUCUUCACGUCACAUUGUGGGACUGACAUAGGAGAGGCUGGUGUAUGUGAGGGAGGGGAUCUGGCACAGCUUCAGGUUCCUAAAGCCAGGAUCCCAGAGCAAGCUGGAGCAACGAGAGCAGUGAGGAAAAGGAAUAAUGUGGCAUGACAGCGAGAGGUUUGGGGCGGGGGACUUCUAGGGACCAGAGCCAAGGCAGGCAGGCUCAAGGGCAGACAUGCAGAUUUUGACACUAAAAGAGAUUGAGUUCAGGAGCUGAGAGGAUAUGUAUGUGUCGGAAACAGCAAGAGGACCUUGGCUUAGGUGCACACCCCUUAGGAAGAGGGUGAGGCGCCACCUAGAUAUUUUUGUGCUGAGUGUGGAGUGCUUGUGUGGGUGUUGUGCAUUUAUCCGUGUGUUGCCUCGAAGGGACAGAGGGUAAGGUAUUAAGUCUCUUCCCAGUGUCAGCCACAAGACUCAGAGUUUUACUUGUUCUCUCCUCAAAUAUCCCCAUGGGGUAGUUAAACCUCCAUUUUACAGCAGCAAAGACAAUCACGGCCAGGCUGAGAAAUUAGCCCAGGACCUCACGGCAAAUAAAUGUGUGUGAUUCCCA